GAUGAACGCUGGCUACAGGCUUAACACAUGCAAGUCGAGGGGAAACGGCAUUGAGUGCUUGCACUGAAUGGACGUCGACCGGCGCACGGGUGAGUAACGCGUAUCCACCUUCCCGUUACUGCGGGAUAACCUGCCGAAAGGCAGACUAAUACCGCAUGUUCUUCGAUGACGGCAUCAGAUUCGAAGCAAAGACUCGUCGGUAACGGAGGGGGAUGCGUCUGAUUAGCUAGUUGGCGGGGCGACGGCCCACCAAGGCGACGAUCAGUAGGGGUUCUGAGAGGAAGGUCCCCCACAUUGGAACUGAGACACGGUCCAAACUCCUACGGGAGGCAGCAGUGAGGAAUAUUGGUCAAUGGGCGGAAGCCUGAACCAGCCAAGUAGCGUGCAGGAGGACGGCCCUAUGGGUUGUAAACUGCUUUUAUGCGGGGAUAAAGUGAGGGACGUGUCCCUUUUUGCAGGUACCGCAUGAAUAAGGACCGCUAC
rnacentral:rRNA from 1 species